GACGUAGGGCGCGAGCGUUGUCCGGAUUUAUUGGGCGUAAAGAGCUCGUAGGCGGCUUGUCGCGUCGACUGUGAAAACCCACAGCUCAACUGUGGGCUUGCAGCCGAUACGGGCAGGCUAGAGUUCGGUAGGGGAGACUGGAAUUCCUGGUGUAGCGGUGAAAUGCGCAGAUAUCAGGAGGAACACCAGUGGCGAAGGCGAGUUCCUGGACAAGACCUGACGCUGAGGCACGAAAGCCAGGGGAGCAAACAGG
rnacentral:rRNA from 1 species